rnacentral:tRNA from 1 species
UGGCAAGUAGCUCAGCGGUAGAGCAGUCGGCUGUUAACCGACCGGUCAUAGGUUCGAUCCCUAUCUUGCCAGCCA